UGGAAAUGACAUUUUUAUGUGAGGAAGAGGAGGAGGAGGAAGAGGAGGAGGGGAAUCAAAGAGGAGCACUUUGACAGAGAAACUUAGACAUCAAUAGUCAGAGAGGAACAAGGUGAUGUUGGAGGCCUGAUGCUGCUCAGAGGAACAUGAACGCACCUUUCUGAGCAGAGCUGCGUUUUUACGCACAGAGGCCAAAAUGAAACAGAAAUCACACAAAUAAAUGUGAGGGAGAAGGAAGAGGUCCAUGAAUGAUAGAUCUGGACACUCUUUAACGCAGCUGCUGAUUUUUUUUUUAUUUUAAUAUUUCAAACAUGUGAAGUCCGAGCAGCCAGAGGCCACAGCAGCAGCUCCUCUUCACACAGCCUCCUUUAAAUUAUGCAAAAAGGCCAUUCAGGAAAUAUGGCCCUCACCACACAAAAGAGACGCUUAUUCUGACAUUUCCCUGCAUUUCUUGUUUUUUUUCCCUCUCUCGAUGUGAGUAAGACCCCGAGAUAAACCCCUGAACAAGUAUCAAGUUAUCAAGUUGCACCAACCUUUUGUAAUAAGAGUAUUUUGUCUAAUCCCAAAUUGCAGUUGAAUUUUCUUAAUGCUGAGCUGGUAAAGCCUGGGAUUAGGCGGCGAUGAGAGGAGGGGGAAAAGUUUUGUCCCUUCAGCCGGCAGGAUUGGAAGCGGGCAUCUGCGGGGAUGUUGUCGGUGCUUAUUAAAACGAUGAUGCAUAAAACACAGAGUUGCAGGAGCCGCGGCGCCGCACGCAGAGAGCCGGGCUCCCUCAGGUGCAGCUUGUUUGGACGGCGGCGGGCGACGGGAAGGAACGCAGAGGCCGAGCGGCGCGCAGCACCUGUGAGGUGAGGCCAGGAGACAUCAAAGCUCAGGAGAUAAUCCAUUCAGCUGAAGGAUCCUCAGCUGCACAGCCGCGCAGACACACCGCCGCCUUUUUUACGCAGCGCGUCGCUUUUAUUCACUGAAAAAGGACUCCGAAUGUUUUUCACUCCUGGAACACUAAAGAAGCCCGAGCGGCGCCGCAGAGGACACACUUCUCCUCCUUCUUGGCCAUCUUGCCUUUGUUUUGCUCCAGCGUCCUCUCCAGGUGCUCGUCCUCCUCCUCGGCCCUGCAGAUGGAGAGGUCCACAGGUCACACACACACACAGGUAAUGCUGUCGGUGCCACGGCAACCGUCGCUGUGCCACCUGUGGAGUGGCGUGAUGCCAGGAGGCCGAGCCGCAACCUUUAACCCGCCUGGAGCCAAUCCCACCUGAGCAGUAUGACCAGUUCAUCCAGCAGCAGCUGCUCUCGUCUCUUCUGGGCUUCGGUCUUCUGCCAGUCUGCAGGACAUCAGAGAAACAUCAGACCAGGAGCUCCUCUGAACACUCUGACACAGGGAGGAAAAGUCUACAGGAUGCUAAAAACUCCAGUCUGAGCUCUUCAGAUCCUCCUGAGGACACGAUGUGGACGGAGACAGUUUGGUGAACGUUCUGAUGAAGCUGCUGGACUGAGGAGACCAGCAGCUCCUCAGACUGGACCAGAUCGAACACCAGAAGGAUAUCAUCAUUUAAUGUGAAGCUUCCUGAGCACAGACUGAUGGAAGAGGAGCUGCUGGAGAAAGUCCUCAAUGAGAACUUUAGAAAAGGAGACCAACAGUUUGGUUCCUGUCUGAGGCUAAAAUGAGGAAAAAAAAGUCUGAUUAUUUGAAUGUUUUCAUUUAAUUUAAACCUAAAAAUUCUUAAAUCUUCUGAACCAACAGGAGCGUCUGAAUGUCACCUCAGAGACAAACAAACCAACAGGUGAGCCUCCGGUCCAAACUCGUAGUCGGGGUCUGUGCAGGAAGGGGCCCCACAGAGGCCCCACAGGGUCCAGGUGGGACCCAGAUCCAAAUCCUCUCAGCCUCUCCCCCAGGAGGGGGGCCGCCCACAGGAGACGCUGCUCCCCCUGGGGCUCAAAUAUCCGCCUGGCGCCCUCGGUUCCACAUUUACUCCCCCUCCUCCCCCGCCUCACCCCCAAAAACAUCAGCAACGUGUGCAGCAAUAAAGCAGGUUAAAGAGGUUGCUACUGCUGCUGCUGCUGUUGCUUGUUGUUGUUGUGACCAGAAGCAGGUGAACUCUCUGAAGUCUUUAUUCUGCUGCCUCACGGCUUCAGAAGCAGGAAGUGAGAGCAGAGUUUCAGAUUAAAAGCCUCCGUCCCAGAGAGGAUUCAAACAGAAACUUCAGCCUCCAUCAAUAUUUAAGUUGCUAUUGAUCGGACAAUAAAAGGAACGUUUUCAAAUGUCACACCCCAAAAUAAGUUGAUUAAAAAUAAAUACCCUGUCAUUGAGUCAAAUUGCAGCCAUCAGACUGAGUCCUGCUGGGCUCAGAGUUGGUCCUCAAAGGUCUGAGCUCCUCACGGCUCUUUGAAGUCGACGAGGAGAGAAAUCAGCUCAGUCCUAAUAUUUAGUUGCUGUCAGGGAGAAAAUCUACUCUCCUCUGGUCCAGACACUGAAAAUAUGUUCUAACCUGCAUAUGGAGGGAGUUCCUGUCUUUCUUUUCUUUUUUCUUUUUAAAGGAGGCUGAGGACUGAGAGACAGAGGACAGAGUGUGAGUCAUCAUGUGAGUCGUAAGCUUUAGAUAAUUGUGCGACAGGAAUGUGUAACUCUCCCACAAUCCUCUGGAAGGAAAAAAACAAGAAAAAAAAUCCUUCAGAGACUUCAGCCAGAAAGCCACGGUCCAGAGGAGGGGGAGGGAAGGGGGAGGCUGUCAAUCACACGUCUCUAGCCCCGCCCCCCUCAUUAGGAAGGUAAACAAUAAAAAGAGGCAAUGAGAGACGAGACCAGACACAACCUGAAAGCACCAGGAACCGAGGAACACCGUAGUACUACAGUAUCACCACAGUAUUACAGGAACACCACAGUACUACAGUACCUGGGUAACACCAUAGUACUACAAGACUGUAGUACUGUAACACCAGGUAAUACUAAGUAACCAGAGCUGGAGGACAAACAGACUGAGACUCACACAGACCUUCAAGCCCCGCCUCCCCCACAGACCUCCUCCUCUAAGCCCCGCCUCCCCUCAGACGGGGAGAGAGGGGGAGGUAUUCAGAUAACCCUCUGGUAACCAUGUGAUUCUGAACAAUCCUCAGAAGAAUGCUCCAGUUCAAAUCCCCAUGAAGCCCCCCCCCCCCUCCUCCAUCCAUCCGUCCCCCAUCCAUCCAUCCAUCCGUCCGUCCGUCUGUCUCUCCAGAAAUAUGGAGACUUGACAUCAGAGGAGCUCAGACUCAAACAGCCCUGAAUGGUGCUUUUGGCCCAAAUCCAAGAGGAAUCAAGAGACAAAAAGUGUCACCAGAGGAGGAGAAAGUCGAGUGGAUGGAUAAAUAAAAGGCAUCUCGACUGGGACAAAGACCCUCUGUGGGUCUCAGGCUGAUGUUAAAGACAGAUCACAGACUGAUCAAUAUUCCCUCUGAUCGAUCUCUAAAAGGCUACAACUGAAGAUUAAACGUCAUUUUCUUAUUGUUAACAACAAAAACAAUGAACUGAACCUUCUUUCUUCACUCAUUUCUGCUGUUUUAGUCCAAAAACUAUUAAAAUGCAUCACUGAGCUGCUGAACCUGGAGUUUGGGUCAAAAACACUUUACUGAACUACCAUCUGUACUACAGCAGCCAGAUAGAAUCCAUUAGCUGUCAACUAUUUGUGUUGUUGUGAUGUGUUGUUUGUGCUCCUGCAGAUGCAUCAGCUCCAUAAAACCUCAUUUUACCAUCAAUAUUACAGCUGCAACCAUUAAUCCAUUAGUUCUCAAUGUUUAAACUAAUCAGUUGAGGAUUUUUUAAAGGAAAAAAAGGCUAAAUUCUCUGAUUCCAGCUUCUAAAAUUGAAUAUUUUCUGGUUUAUUUACUCCUUUAUGAUAACAAAUUCAAUUUUUGGGGUUGUGGACAAAACAAAACCCUGAAGAAAUUUUUUCUGUAUUUUCUGACAUAUUACAAACCAAAAAACUUUGAAUUAAUUAUUAAACUGCAAAUCUUCUCUGUACAUAUUUUUUUUAUUAUACAUAUAUAUUCUAACUAUUAUUCUCUGCAUACCUGCUCUUAUUGCUCAUUUUCCAUUAUUUAUUUUUAUUAGUGUGUUUAUAUUUACACUACUGUUCAACAGUUUGGGGUCACCCAGUAAAACUCCCACUUUUAUCCAUGUGCUAACAUAACUGCACAAGGGUUUUCUAAUCAUCAAUGAGCCUUUCAACACCAUUAGCUAACACAAUGUAGCAUUAGAACACAGGAGUGAUGGUUGCUGGAAAUGUUCCUCUGUACCUCUAUGGAGAUAUUCCAUUAAAAAUCAGCUGUUUCCAGCUACAAUAGUCAUUUACCACAUUAACAAUGUCUACACUGGAUUUAUCCUUCAUUUAAUGUUAUCUUCACUGAAAAAAAAAAGAUUUUCUUUCUAAAAUAAGGACAUUUCUGAGUGACCCCAGACUUUUCAACAAUAGUGUAUGUUCUUAUAUCCUCUGCAUACCCAUUUUCCAUUAUUUAUUCCUAUUAGGGUGAUUAAUAUUUAUAUUCUACCUAUGUUUAGUCCAAAUUCAGGGUCUUUUUCUGAAAAUCUGCAAUUGUAAAGAUUCUUAUAUUUUUUUAAUAUAUUUUUGCAAAAUUUGGUACAAUUAUUGACAAUUAACAACAAAAAAGAAGUAUUAGUUCAAUAACUAUACAAAGAUUUGAUUAUUAAAUGAAAUCUCUCACGUAAUUAGAGGACUUUUCACAAGAAAAAUGUAGAAAGUUUUUUCAUUAGCAUCCAUCCAACCAUCCAUCCAUCCAGUCUGUCAGUAAAUGUAACUUUAUUUACUGAUUUUAAACAUCUCCAUGUUCAGAAGGAACCAAUGAGUGUCACGGAGCAGGAGUUAGAGACAGAAAGUUCAGUUUGAUUUCGUCACAAUAAAAACAAGUAGAAUAUUA